rnacentral:lncRNA from 1 species
GAAACACAGGUGUGUGAUAAAUAUUCAAAAACAGUUGAAGCAAACCAGCAUCAACCAUCACUGAAUUUUCAUCACUCUGUUUCUGCAACGCAGAAAACAUCCCACCGUCGGGACCACCGUAGACCGGAGGGACUCCGGCGGAGGCGACCGACAGCGGGACCAGAUUCCCGCAACGGGGUUCCAAACCAUCCAACGAUUGGACCCCUGAAAAGGCUACAUACGUAACACCACCCACUUCAUCGAUCAAGAACCCUUGAGGGGCCAUGACGUUUGAUCGUGCACAGAGGUUCCAUGACUCGGUCAACAUAGGGGUUGACCCCAAAAACCUUGCUAGCAUCUCACUGGUCUCGAACCUAACCAUCAGAAAGGAGUUGGGUUAUGGAUAAAUAUACAGAGAAAACAAUGCCCACUAGGUGUUCGACGAAAUUUCGCAGUGAGAAUUUUGUUGCACUUUUAUCUGAUAUUAUAGUAUUUGUGGAAUAAAAUUAAAGAAAGAAAGAAAGAAAGAAGAUGAGAAUGGGGAACUUACGAUGAAGCUUCUGCUUCCAUUGUCAAGAUGAGGGAAGAAGGUGAUAUUGAAAUGAUGCAACAAAUUUGUUUAUAUUGGGCGGCUUAGAUGGAGUUGGGUCCCUCUAGGGUCAAAUAAUUGGUUAAUUGAAUCAUGUAUUUGAGUGUGUUUCACCCAAGCUUAGAUCAUCAUUAACUUCGUUUGUUGGUGGCAAGUGAGAUAAUUAGUUGGGAUAUUAGCAACAAGUGUGUAUCAAUGGCAACUUGAGCUAUACUCGAUAGUAACUGAGUUUGUUUACACGCCAGUCAUUAGUAAUAGUUGAGGUAUUGUUGACAGAUCCGUCAUUAGUGAUAAGUGAGUUGCUACUGAAUUAGUUCGUACUGUAGGAGUUUCAUACUGACAGAGUUCCUGUUUAUGUAACUGAAUAAUUGCCAACGAUUUUAAUUAUUAAAUGACACGCUAUU